GAGGGAUUAGUCCAACUAAGACAAUUGAUUUCGACUCAAUUAAUUAUGGUUUAAUUCCAUAAUCUCU
rnacentral:tRNA from 1 species